AGCUGGUUUGUGGCAAUGGAAUAGUAAUGACAGCAGGAUGGUAAUUUCAUCUUGAGUUUUACAAGCAAGAGGAGGUGCCAAGAAGGAAACCAGGUGCUGCUGUACAAGGAGAGUGCCUGUCCAUACCCCAAUAAUUGACUCCUGCUCCUGAAGACGUUCAUCCAGCAGAAACUGAGUGCUUUGGUGAGCCCAGCAAAGCUGCAGCGGUGCCUCUCUCCAGAGCCUUGUCCUGCUGGGUAUCUGGCCAUGCUCAGAUGGCUCUGAACAUUAACAGGAAGCCCUGCAGUCCCAGGCUCUGGUAGGAGUUUGCAGUAAUCACCAGCCAAGGCACACAGUACUGACCUGGAAAAGGUUGGCUGCUGCCCAAUGCUCUCACACUGAAGUUUAAGCAGGCUGGGAACCAUCUCUGUGGAAUAAAAGAGGAGCCUCUCCUGCAGGAUGAACCAGGACAAAAUUGAAUAUUCUGAGUAUUCGCACAAUUUUAAGGCCAUGUUUUGGCCCCAUAAGAGACAAUCCAGCACUCAAACUUUCCUACAUCCAUGUCUGGCAAUCUGAACUGUCAGUUCUUCUCCCAGAUUACAAAAAGGAAGUUUCUGGAAUUUGCUCCUCACAUCUGAAUGCAAUGGGGACAACGAAGGUAUAUUAGGACACAACUGAUCUCCCAAAAGGGUGAAAGAAGAAAGAAUUCCUCUUGAGCCUCCUCACAAAGCUGCCAGGAAGGGAAGGAGACUGGAGAGCCUUUGAGGACAGUCUGGUUUUGCCUUUCUUAAGUGAGUUAGAAGUCUUUGGUCUACAGUGAGGACAGAAGAAAUGAUCAUAGGAAAAUGAAAACUGGAGGAGCCAGAAGCUGACAUUCAGAUUGAAUUGUAGUACAUCUGAUCAAGCAAGGGAUGUGUUUUGAAGGCAAAGCUCGAAGAUUGAGUUGUGUGACUCCACUAGUAUUGAAAAAGGGCCCUAAAGUGAGGCUGUGUAUUUACCUUGUAUUCUUGGGAUUGAAGGAGAGUAGGCUGGAACAGUUUUCCUUUUCUUUAUGAAGAAUGAACUCUGCUCUGUGCAUGCAGUGGGAGUUGGAGCGAACGAUCUGUGGGAGAGCCUUCCCACUCCCCCUGCCCCAGGAUGGGAUUUGGAGCACACAACACCCUUAUUGCUUCCCUCUCCUGUUUGGUAUUCUGCACUGGUUGUGCCAAGCUCACCCUCAUCCCCCCGUGGCCUGGGUAAGGACAGGGGAAGCUCAGGAUGGUUCCCUUGGUGCAAUGGGAACACCAUGGUCAGCAAAAACUGGGGAUUGAACUUGCCCUGGUCAGGCCUAAGGUAUUGCCAUGCUAUUUUCAUCUCACUCUUUUCUGUCUUCUAAGGCCCAAUAAAGGUCUUGAUAAUUCUUGCUCAGAGCUCAUGUCUGGCAGGGAUUUCACCUUUUUGAGUUUUUGGUUAGUUCUUUUUCCAGCUGCAGUGGGCAGAUAUGCCUGCAACAGCACCAAGGGGCUGAGGCUACGUGUACCAUGGCGUAUUAUCUCUUUGCUAAACCAGUAAAACAGUGAGAUGUCAUUAAAAAUUAUAUCCAUGUAUCAGAGGUUUUCAGCUUGGCUAUAGGGUCCUUUCAAAGCUGUGAGGUUGGAGAGAUUAAUUUUGCCCCUUCUGGGCAGAAAACAGCAUUCCCAUUUCCUUCCAUGUCAACUCUGUUAUGUAGAUUCCCUUGGGACUGAGAGGAAGGGACCUUGGGAAUUGCUGGUGUUCCUGCUUUUAUUUUGUGUGAGACUCCAGAUGAAAAUGUGUUGAAAACAGUGUAAAUCCUGAGCUCCCCAAGGCAGAGAGUUGUGAUAUACUCAAGCCUUGUGUCAGUCCACUGUGUAGCAGCAUGCCAGGCACUCUUCCAUUAGAUAUCACUUGGGUACCCAUUUCUCAGUUUCAUCCCACUCCUGGAGAAAUAACUGCUGUCAGGUUUCUUUUAUUUUAAUCAAUUAUUUUAUUCUGUUACUAUUGCAACUGCUACCUGUUCCACAAGGCUCCUCACAAGCUCUGCACGUUGCUGUCUGCAGUUUCAGUGAAUCAGAUCUCAGUGUUUCUGAUCAGGGUCCAGCUGGAACUACACAUCUUUUGUUCAUGUAUUUAAUAUACUCAAAAUGCACUAAAUGACAGUUUAUAAUAUCAUUAUCAACAGUUAAAGACAUUAUAACUUCAAGAAAUGAAAAGAAAGUGCAGCCAUAUGUGGAAAUGCUUUAUUUUGUGCACUUUUAACCCUCACAAUAGUUCAGCUGCAAAAAUGGGGAUAGCAAUGAGAAGCAGGGAGAAAAUCGUAUGUCUGCAAAAUCAUUUUUCAGCUUUCCGUCCACUGCUGUCAUGAAAGAGCACUGAGCUAUUUGGAUGGUAAAUAACAACCAAGAACUAAUUUAUUUUUCUUCAUAAAAUUAUUUCUAGAAUUGGAUUCAAAUGUGUUCCUUAUUACACGGUUUGAUAAUUCAGUGAUGCUUUCCCCCCAUAACAUACGAGCUGAUUUAAACCUUCACUCCAAACAGCCUCGGGCUUAUUAAGAACAGUGUGGACUGAGUAUGGAUUAGGUUUAAAAGUAAUAAAAAAGUAGACCUGUUGGUUAGGUGAAAAAUUCACUAUCAGAUUCCUGAGUGCAGCUUUCUUUUCAUGUGCAAACUGCAUUAAAUGAGGCAUUUAAUUCAACAAAUCCAUAGUUCUGAUCCACCAGAAAUAGAGACUGGGUUAGUUCAAUUUGUAACAAACGAUCUCCAUAUGAUCAAAGUCCUGAGAGCUGAUUCCAACAUACUGCUUAAAUUAGUCUAACACCGAAGUGUUUGGCUCUGGGACAAUAUUUGGAAUGUCUUACCAGAAGAAAAAUUCCUCUGCACACAUGGUUCCAAUAUCUGGGAAUGCCAACCUUGCUUUUUAAUGGGCUGACAGGGAGCCUCCGUGCUAACUUUCUGACUCCAAAAAGUUCUUGUGCUGUCACCCGCAAACCAGCUUGGAUAAUUUUUCCUUGGCUUCCUUAUUAAAGCCUGAAUGAAGGGAUUGUGUGGCUUUCUUAAUGUCACUUGGUCUGCUUGCCAUAAAUUCAAGCACUCAUGAUGAAAGCUCCACUUAUAUUUUGCUGGGAAAUGGAAUCAAGGAGAAUGCACCCUCGUUCACAAUAAAUAACUGAAGUUGAGUUAUUAAGUGUAUUUCAUAUACCAGUGCCUUAUUACAUCAGCAGUUUAGAUAAUGGCUUCUAAAAAAUACUCCUCUGCUGAAAUGUAUGACGAGUGAGUUGCACAGAGGAUCCCAAUGCAUGGAACCAAACCAGCAGGCCAGAGCAAUAACUUAGGACUGUAUUAACAAAUAUCAAAUAUUUACAUUUUUACAUGCUGCUGUCUGUUUUGAUUAAGCAACCAUAGCAAUAACAGCAGUCAGCAGCGAGGGCUGUAUUUGCUUGGUUCCUGCCAGGGAAUUCUCAGCUGGGAUUGUUUGUUUGCGUUGUGCAGUGAAGACUCGAGCUGUUUACACUGUAGCUCCAGUUUUAGAGAGUGCUAAUUAUGCUCUGCUGCUGAACCCCUCUCCUUCUCAGAGUCUGCUCUUCUGCAAAAAUACUUUACACUGGUCUCGAGGAAAGCAAUCUGACUCACGGCAGGCAACAAAGGGUGCCCCAGUGCCUUGUAACUUUUUCUUUUAAUGUGGUGAGCGUCGCUAAAUGGGAGUUCAUGCCUUUAACUCUGCUUGCUUUUCCUUUUCUUUAUUUUUACAAAAAAAUAAAAUUAAAUAAUGGAAAACA